rnacentral:rRNA from 1 species
AUUGAACGCUGGCGGCAUGCUUUACACAUGCAAGUCGAACGGUAACAGGGAGCUUGCUCCGCUGACGAGUGGCGAACGGGUGAGUAAUGCGUCGGAACGUGCCGAGUAGUGGGGGAUAACGCAGCGAAAGUUGUGCUAAUACCGCAUACGUACUGAGGUAGAAAGUGGGGGACCUUCGGGCCUCACGCUAUUCGAGCGGCCGACGUCUGAUUAGCUAGUAGGUGAGGUAAAGGCUCACCUAGGCGACGAUCAGUAGCGGGUCUGAGAGGAUGAUCCGCCACACUGGGACUGAGACACGGCCCAGACUCCUACGGGAGGCAGCAGUGGGGAAUUUUGGACAAUGGGCGAAAGCCUGAUCCAGCCAUGCCGCGUGUCUGAAGAAGGCCUUCGGGCUGUAAAGGACUUUUGUCGGGGAGGAAAUCCCCAGCGCUAAUACCGCUGGGGGAUGACAGUACCUGAAGAAUAAGCACCGGCUAACUACGUGCCAGCCGCCGCAGUAAGAC